UAUUUUGAGUGAAAAACCAUGAGAGAGAAGGGAGAAGGGAGGAAGAAGAAGAAGAAGAAGAGAAAAGAGGGGAAAAUAAGGGAAAAAGAAAAGGAGUUGGAGGAAAUAAGUAAAAAGGGAUAAUCCUGAUAUUCUACCGGUGGGACGUCAGUAGGAUUUUCUUCGAUAUCAGCUUUGAGUUUUGUUGCUUUCGAGUCAGGCUUAUAGCUUGAUAGCAGGUCACUUUUGUUGGACCUUCAGAACCUGCUUUUUGAUUGUACUUUGUACCUUUUCUUUAUGUCUAGUUAGUGCUCCAAAACUCUGAACUUAUAUAAACUCUUGUAUUAAGACAAUUCAAUUAUAUUAUGAAGUUGAUUUUGUUAUUAAUGCUGCGUUGAACUUUGAUUGAGUUAGGAUAAGUUUGUGUGUAAGUUUGGGUUCGUAUAGGUAUGGAACUUUGGAGGGGAACCUUGCCUAUGUGCCGAUCAUGGAUCCGGGAUUCGGGUCGUGACACAAAUAGCAUGAAAUUCUAAUAAUAUAUGCAAAUUUGUAUCUUAAUCAAUUUAUGCACAUUCCAUUUCAAGAUGGGAACUAGAUUCUCUCUCAGUGACACUUAUUCCACAUGUCAUCUUUCUGAUUUGCUAUCUCAUUCCCUUGUCUUCCAUGUUUUCUAACAUAAAAUUAUGCUUUGUAACCUGGUACUGUUAUUUCAUUUUAAUUUUAAUGUUCAUGGAAUUUUCGAUUCAAUUUUUUUAUUAUUGAAAUUGCAUAUUGAAUGGUCCCGUUAUGACCAUUCCGUCACUCUGGUCUCUUCAGCUAAAGAUCUCCUUGAUUUACUUCAUCUCUCACUUACCCACAAAUCUCUCAAACUCACCCAACAAUGCCAUGCUCGAAUUCUCUCUCUUGGUCUCACUCAACACCCCUUUUUGGCCACAGAACUCGUCUCUGCAUACGCUGUAUAUGGUGUCCCAACUCGUUUUUAACUCGCUCCAAAUCAAGAGUGUUUAUCUAUGGAACUCAUUGAUUAAUGUGUGUGUGAAAAAUCAUGUUUAUAAUGAAGCUUUUGGUUGGUUUUAUCAAGAUGCCGUGGUGUUUUGCUUGAUGAUUAUACACUUGCAACGAUGUCAAAGGUUUGUGGUGAGAUUGGUGACUUGAAUUCAGGGAAAUUGAUUCGUGGGAAAAUUUUUAAAAUUGGGUUUGUUUUGGAUUUUAUAGUUGCCAAUUCUCUUAUGUCAAUGUAUAGCAAAUGUGGGGAAUUUGGCGAAUGUUUGAAACUGUUUGAUGAAAUGCCUGAAAGAAAUGUGGGUGCUUGGAAUGUUAUUAUAUCGGGAUAUGCGGAUUCAGGGGACCUUAAUUUUGAUAAGGAUAUGUCAGAUUUUGUUAAAGAUAUGCAAAUCGAGGGGUUAAAACCUGAUGUAAUCACAGUCUCUUCUCUUUUGAGUUUGCGUGACGGGGAUAUGGUGAAAAGGAACUAUGGAAGAGAGCUUCGUGGGUUUAUAGUGAGAAACGAGUUGGCUUUGGGUUCGGAGUUUGAUUUGGGAUCUUGCUUGAUAGAUAUGUAUUCUAGGUGUAAUAAAGUUGAUGUAGGUAGAAGGGUAUUUGAUAGCAUGAAGGGUGGGAAUGUUUGUACUUGGACAGCAAUGAUCAAUGGUUAUGUGAAGAAUGGAUCUCUAGAGGAAGGACUGGCUCUUUUUCGAGAAAUUCAGGUGAGGGAUGAAGUAGAACUUAAUUAGGCUUCGCUUGUGGGUGUUCUUCCUGCUUGUAGCGCAGUUUCUGGUUUAAUUGGUGUGAAACAAAUUCAUGGAUAUGCCAUCAAGAAGGAAUUUAAUGGUGAUGUUUCCUUAUGUAAUGCUUUGAUCGGCAUUUAUUCCAAGUGCGGGAGCUUGGAUCAUGCAAAACAAGUCUUUGAGCAUGGUUCUUUUCAUAGGGAUCCAAUGUCUUCGUGUUCAAUGAUUUCUGGCUAUGGAUUGCAGGGGAAGGGAGAGGAAGGUAUACAACAAGAUGCUUCAUCUUGGGAAUAAAUCAGACAUGAUAACAAUAGUAGGGGUUCUUUCUGCUUGUGGCCGGUCAGGAUUGGUAGAUGAAGGCCUGCGCAUCUAUAAAUCUACAAUAAAUGAAUAUAGGAUUAAGCCAACGGUUGAGAUUUGUGCUUGUGUUGUGAAUAUGUUAGGCCGAUCAGGCCAGCUUGGCUGAGUUUUAGAUUUUAUUAAAUCCAUGCCAAUGGAACCUAGUCCAAGAGUUUGGGUGGUGCUUGUUAGUGCUUCCAUAACCCAUGGAAAUGCUGAGAUGCAGGAUCUGGCUUGUAGGUUCCUUAUUCAGUUAGAACCUGAAAGCCCACCGAAUUAUGUCUCACUUUCAAACUUACAUGCGUCUUCCAGGAGAUGGGAUGUAGUAUCUGAGGUGAGAACAAUGAUGAAAGAAAGGUGCUUAACAAAAACUACUGGGUGCAGUUGGAUAAGCAUUAAUAACACCACUCAUUCUUUCUAUGCUGCUGAUAAACUGCAUCCUUGUUCCAAGUCAAUAUAUCAACUGCUGGAUGACCUCGUAUUGUUGAUGAAUGGAGCUGCUGUUCCUCAUAAUUUUGAAAAUUUGACAUGGGUGUCUUGAAUAUUGAUAUGCUGUUUUCUGUCUCCCUUGACAAUUGAGGAUAUCUUAUGCAAGCCAUAACCUUAUGCACAGAUAUGCAUUCGUUAACCAAAUGAUUGAGACUCGACUGCUGUCCAUACCUCUGGACAUGUUUGCUGAAAAUUAGGCGAAUUUUGCUUGUAUUCUCAAACUAGCCAAGUUGUUUCAUGUUAAGCUGUGUGGAUUGAUAGUAUGGACACAGAGCAUUCUAGUUCCGCUUCGGCUCGCCUUUUUUUUUUUUUUAAAUAAUUGAAACAAAAGGAGUGCAGCCAACCUUGAAGAUAACUGACAAGAUCUGAAGACUUGCCGAACUGAUUGGCGGGGCAGUGAGUCACACUCUAUAACUAUCAGGAGCAAUACAUGCAAGCAUCGUUUGACAGUGCUGGGAUUUACAACUUUUUUUUUUUUUAUCUUUGUAGAUAAAAAAAUUGAAUAUCUAGCAACAAGAUUGUUGGAGCGCAAAACACUUGCCAAUAAGCUGAAACAGGAAACAGGGUUGCUAGCGUUCCAUAUGGUUCUUACAUAUGUGGCUUCCAUUGUAACCAUGUGAUAUCCAUGCUUGAUGUUCAAACUUCUUCACUUUGCCAAAUUUGUUACGGAAGCGUGGAUUAGCCAACAAAACUAUGUAUGGAAUAAUACAAGGUAUUUUCAUGA